AUACUCGAAUGGUUUAGUGGCGCACGGGUGAGUAACACGUGAAUUACAUGCCCUAUAGUGGGGAAUAGCCCAGGGAAACUUGGAUUAAUACCCCAUGGUCUCGCAAGAGUAAAGGUGGCCGCAAGGCUGUCGCUAUAGGAUUGGUUCGCGCCCUAUCAGCUUGUUGGUGAGGUAACGGCUCACCAAGGCUACGACGGGUACCUGGUCUGAGAGGACGAUCAGGCACACUGGAACUGAGACACGGUCCAGACACCUACGGGUGGCAGCAGUCGAGAAUAAUUCACAAUGGGGGCAACCCUGAUGGUGCAACGCCGCGUGGAGGAUGACGGUCUUCGGAUUGUAAACUCCUGUCAUCCGGGAGUAAGACCUGGGAGUGAACAGCUCACAGGGUUGAUAGUACCGGAAGAGGAAGGGACGGCUAACUUCGUGCCAGCAGCCGCGGUAAUACGAAGGUCCCGAGCGUUGUUCGGAAUCACUGGGCGUAAAGGGAGCGUAGGCGGCGUGGUAAGUCAGAUGUGAAAUCCCGGGGCUCAACCCCGGAACUGCAUCCGAUACUGCCGUGCUAGAGGAUUGGAGAGGUAGCUGGAAUUUACGGUGUAGCAGUGAAAUGCGUGGAUAUCGUAAGGAACACUCGUGGCGAAAGCGAGCUACUGGACAACUCCUGACGCUGAGGCUCGAAGGCCAGGGUAGCGAAAGGGAUUAGAUACCCCUGUAGUCCUGGCAGUAAACGGUGCACGCUUGGUGUGAGGG
rnacentral:rRNA from 1 species